UACGAGAGGCCCAAACGUUAUUCGGAAUUACUGGGCUUAAAGAGUUCGUAGGCGGCAUGAAAAGUAGGGUGUGAAAGCCCUCGGCUCAACCGAGGAAUUGCGCUCUAAACUGUCGUGCUCGAGGAACCUAGAGGUGAGCAGAACAGAUGGUGGAGCGGUGAAAUGCGUUGAUGUCAUCUGGAAUACCGGAGGCGAAGGCGGCUCACUGGGGGUUUUCUGACGCUGAGGAACGAAAGCCAGGGUAGCGAACGGG
rnacentral:rRNA from 1 species